rnacentral:lncRNA from 1 species
UCGGUAGGCAUGACUCUUUUGACAGAAAGGGUUUCAAGAACCCCUUGUUCAUUAAGCAGGUAUUGCAUUUUCCUAUGCCAAAUAUCAUAAUUCUUUCCAUCUAGCUUAUCACCCCUGGUGAGAUCAGCUACGAUGUUCUUGGAAGUCAUUUCACUACAUUCAAAAAAUAGGUUUGAACAUUAGACACAUAUUCCCAAAAAAUUAACAAGAUUGAAAUAUUAUCCUCGACACAACGGGAUCAAAAACUUCGCUAUGCUCAUAAUUAUCACCCAGUGUCGGUUCAAAAUAUUACAAUCUUAUUAAUUUUCUAUUAAUUUUGAAACUUAUCAAAAACUUGGAACUCAUCUAUUUUGAAGAACACAUCAUUUUCUUGAAAAAUAUUUAUAUAAGGAGAACUUAUCUCAUAAUAUUAUCACACAGACAAAAAAUAAGUACUUAUGCCAAAACUUAAUUUGAAAAACGUCGACGCUGCGCAAAAUACAUUCCUUUGCAUGGCCUUAAUUAUUAUAUCACUUUUGCAUAAUUAAAACCUACUACAUCACUACAAGAUGUACAUCAGAAAAAUAAUAUUCUACAGGAAUGUUGCACACGUCGAACCCAUUUUUCUAAAUUUAAAUUUUGUUGAAAAAUCACCGAAAUAACAUAAGUACUUAUAUGUCAAACAAAUACACAAUCAUGCAAGUAUAAUAUGCUACA